rnacentral:rRNA from 1 species
ACGGAAGGCAGCAGUGGGGAAUAUUGGGCAAUGGGCGAAAGCCUGACCCAGCAACGCCGCGUGAAGGAAGAAGGCCUUCGGGUUGUAAACUUCUUUUGUCAGGGACGAAGGACGUGACGGUACCUGACGAAUAAGCAACGGCUAACUAUGUGCCAGCAGCCGCGGUAAUACGUAGGUUGCAAGCGUUGUCCGGAUUUACUGGGUGUAAAGGGUGUGUAGGCGGAGCUGCAAGUCAGAUGUGAAAUCCCGGGGCUCAACCCCGGAACUGCAUUUGAAACUGUAGCCCUUGAGUAUCGGAGAGGCAAGCGGAAUUCCUAGUGUAGCGGUGAAAUGCGUAGAUAUUAGGAGGAACACCAGUGGCGAAGGCGGCUUGCUGGACGACAACUGACGCUGAGGCGCGAAAGCGUGGGGAGCAAACAGGAUUAGAUACCCUGGUA